ACCAGUUAAAGGAAAGUCAGUUCUCGUUCUCAGUCUCAGUCUUCAUAUUGCAGUGAUGGUGAACAUUUGCAGUACGCCCUUUUUAUUUUUGAUUUUUUAAGUUACAUAUGUGUCAAUGAAAAUUUUAGAAUUUUUAUUAAAUUCUAAACACCAUCAAGUAAUAAGGUUGGAGAAAAACCUUCGUACGAAAAAGGGAAGCCGAAGAGGAAACUCCGGAAACUACAAAGAACUUCAAGUUCUAACUCAAAUUCACCACGUUCCUUAAUAUAGUUCACAUACAUCAUUUUGAAGGUUAAAUAAAAAUAAAAUGGUUCAAAGCGCCUCCGCCGCUUGGAAUUCUAUUUCUGAACAAGUUCCAUCCAACUGGGACGUACCAUCAAAGAAAGAUGGCUUUGAAGAAACUAAGAAAAAAGAAUGGGGCAGAAAGGAGACCGAGAAAAAAGGUAAAGCAGGAGACGAAAGGAGAAAAGAAAAUUCCUAUGGAGCUUGGGGUGCAAUAUUUAAGAACAAAGACCAUUUUAGUAGUUUACACCAUUGUUGAAUAAAAAAAAGCUUUUAACAAAGACAACUUUAGUAGGUAGUUUACACCAUAUGAAAUAUAAGUUUUUGAUACAUAGGAUUUGUUAAAAUUAAUCACAUAUACCUAUACACAAUAAAAUAUGUUAUAUAUACAGGGUGACCCAUUAAGAAUGGAA